rnacentral:rRNA from 1 species
AUUGAACGCUGGCGGCAGGCCUAACACAUGCAAGUCGAGCGAGCGGCGGACGGGUGAGUAAUGUAUGGGGACUGCCCGAUAGAGGGGGAUAACUACUGGAAACGGUGGCUAAUACCGCAUACUAUCGGAUAACCCAUAUGGGAUUAGCUAGUAGGUGGGGUAAAGGCUCACCUGGGCGACGAUCUCUAGCUGGGCUGAGGGGAUGAUGAGCCACACUGGGACUGAUACACGGCCCAGACCCCUCCGGAGGCAGCAGUGGGGAAUAGUGCACAAUGUGCGCAAGCCGGAGGCAGCCAGCCCGCGUGUAUGAAGAGGGCCUUAGGGUUGUAAAGUACUUUCAGCGGGGAGGCGUUACCCGCAGAAGAAGCACCGGCUAACUCCGUGCCAGCCGCCGCGGUAAUC